rnacentral:rRNA from 1 species
GCGGCAAGCCUAACACAUGCAAGUCGAGCGGCAGCGGGAGGAAGCUUGCUUCCUUGCCGGCGAGCGGCGGACGGUUGAGUAAGGUAUGGGGAUCUGGCCGAAGGCGGGGGAUAACCACUGGAAACGGUGGCUAAUACCGCAUAAUCUCUAAGGAGCAAAGUGGGGGACCGUUCUGGCCUCACACCUUCGGAUGAACCCAUAUGAGAUUAGCUAGUAGGUGGGGUAAUGGCUCACCUAGGCGACGAUCUCUAGCUGGUCUGAGAGGAUGAUCAGCCACACUGGGACUGAGACACGGCCCAGACUCCUACGGGAGGCAGCAGUGGGGAAUAUUGCACAAUGGGCGCAAGCCUGAUGCAGUCAUGCCGCGUGUAUGAAGAAGGCCUUCGGGUUGUAAAGUACUUUCAGUCGUGAGGAAGGUGUUAAGGUUAAUAACCUUAGCAAUUGACGUUAGCGACAGAAGAAGCACCGGCUAACUCCGUGCCAGCAGCCGCGGUAAUACGGAGGGUGCGAGCGUUAAUCGGAAUUACUGGGCGUAAAGGGCACGCAGGCGGUUAAUUAAGUUGGAUGUGAAAUCCCCGGGCUUAACCUGGGAAUGGCAUUCAAGACUGGUUAGCUAGAGUCUUGUAGAGGGGGGUAGAAUUCCAUGUGUAGCGGUGAAAUGCGUAGAGAUGUGGAGGAAUACCGGUGGCGAAGGCGGCCCCCUGGACAAAGACUGACGCUCAUGUGCGAAAGCGUGGGGAGCAAACAGGAUUAGAUACCCUGGUAGUCCACGCUGUAAACGAUGUCGAUUUGGAGGUUGUGGUCAUGAACUGUGGCCUCCGGAGCUAACGCGUUAAAUCGACCGCCUGGGGAGUACGGCCGCAAGGUUAAAACUCAAAUGAAUUGACGGGGGCCCGCACAAGCGGUGGAGCAUGUGGUUUAAUUCGAUGCAACGCGAAGAACCUUACCUACUCUUGACAUCCAGCGAAUCCUUUAGAGAUAGAGGAGUGCCUUCGGGAACGCUGAGACAGGUGCUGCAUGGCUGUCGUCAGCUCGUGUUGAGAAAUGUUGGGUUAAG